ACCCCCUGGCAACGGGCAGAGAGAAACCUUGCUGGCAGUGGUGUUCUUAUAUCAGUCAGUGGCAGAGCAGAUGGCAGUCCUUUGUUCCUCCUAGCUUGAUGCCUGGCUUGGUGGCAAAGCUGUUUUAUGCCUAGGACUCAUAA